ACUGCUUUUUUUUCUCCAGUAGCUGGAGUCUCAAAAGUUAAUGGGAAUUAGUGAGCCCGAAUGUGGAAGAACAGGAGCAAGAAAUGUUCUAGAGAGAGCCAGAAGCGUAUGAAAAGACCCUGGGACAGAAGUGAUCCUGGUGCUUGCUGGGAAACAGAGAUUCACAAAGGGCAGGCUCCUCUCGGGCACACCCACCUGAGUGAUAACCUUCCAACCCAUUGGCAACUGUGAAGACUAUGGCACGUGUGUUAUUGAAUUCUGAGUAGCCAUUAGAAGGUGCCUCAGUGGAACAUGAAUGGAAAUUUCUAAGGCGUUCCAAUGGCUCCAGCACUGGCUGAGUGCCCAGCUAAGGGGUCCCUUUACUCGGAUUCUGACCCAGAUGCUUCAUCCACAGGAAUGGGCACCACACUACUUUUGCAAAACAGUGGUCCUCUUUGUAUCUCCUAGAAUGAAGUACCAGGCAAAAAGCCAAUGACACUAUUGAUACCAGGGAAGACAAAGUCCAGGCUCCACAGCUAACCAAUGAAUAGAAGUGGAGAUCCAUGCUCAUCUUCCCUUCCACGGGUUCAGCAAGUCUACACCAACAAGGGAGACUCUG